rnacentral:rRNA from 1 species
CAACAGCUAUAAUGUACUUGAUGUUGAUUAUCCGACGUGGAUAACUGUGGUAAUUCUAGAGCUAAUACAUGCACCAAAGCUCCGACUUUUGGACGAGCGCAUCUAUUAGAUUAAAACCAAUGGGGUUUUUUUUAACCCGUAAAUUGGUGACUCUGAAUAGCUCUGGCUGAUCGCAUGGUCUUGUACCGGCGACAUAUCUAUCAAGUGUCUGCCUUAUCAACUUUCGAUGGUAGUUUAUGUGCCUACCAUGGUUGUAACGGGUAACGGAGAAUAAGGGUUCGACUCCGGAGAGGGAGCCUGAGAAACGGCUACCACAUCCAAGGAAGGCAGCAGGCGCGCAAAUUACCCACUCUCGGAAUGAGGAGGUAGUGACGAAAAAUAACGAGACCGUUCUCUUUGAGGCCGGUUAUCGGAAUGGGUACAAUUUAAACCCGUUAACGAGGAUCUAUGAGAGGGCAAGUCUGGUGCCAGCAGCCGCGGUAAUUCCAGCUCUCAAAGUGUAUAUCGUUAUUGCUGCGGUUAAAAAGCUCGUAGUUGGAUCUGCGUCUCAGGACCUGGUCCGUCCAUUGGACGAGAACUAGGCUCCUAGGCUUUUUUAGCCAGUUUUUCCUAUGUUACCUUAAUUGGUUGCAUAGGAUAGCGGGCAAGUUUACCUUGAAUAAAUUAGAGUGCUCAAUGCGGGCUAAUGCUUGAAUAUUCGUGCAUGGAAUAAUGAAAUAGGAUCUCGGUUCUAUUUUGUUGGUUUUCUGAUCUGAGAUAAUGGUUAAGAGGGACGGACGGGGGCAUUCGUAUCGCUACGUGAGAGGUGAAAUUCUUGGACCGUAGCGAGACGCCCGACUGCGAAAGCAUUUGCCAAGAAUGUCUUCAUUAAUCAAGAACGAAAGUCAGAGGUUCGAAG